AGUGUUGGGAAUCUACUUCUUUAUAGUUGUAGUUCCUGAAAUACAACGGCGGAUUUGUAGUAUCCUCUGAGCGUAGUAAUUUUUUUCUCGCUUUUGUUAGGUGCUAUAACUCCCAGCCGCUAAACCCCCAAUUUUUUGUGGUUGACCUCGGAUCAGGUAGGAAUACCCGCUGAACUUAAGCAUAUCAAUAGGCGGAGGAA
rnacentral:rRNA from 1 species